GCUGGUGGGAGAGUGGAGAUACAGGGUGGGUAAGACCCACACCCGCGUGUGGCAGUUAUGAAAUGGGAGGGAUUACUUGGCUAUGGACCCCAUACCAGGCUCCACAGCCAGGGACAUGCAAAUUAAACCAAAAUGAGAUGCUACUCCUCAAACAGCCGUGGGAUAAAUGAGAUACUAUUUCCCAAAUAGCUACUAUC